UGUCCAAUGUCUGCCGCAUGGCAAGUGGUAGAAUUGAAACUCAAACCCAGGCAACUGAAACCCAGAAUUCAGAAUUGCUUUGCUCUGCUAUAUCAUCACCCGGGACUUUGAUGGAUUAGGCUCUCCCAAGGUGUUGCCAAGCUGGAGACUCCAAGGCUGACCAAUAAGAAGUCCAGCUUUACUGUUGGUACCACUACCAACAGCAUGGAUACAUCAGAGGAAUGUCCUGAAAAUAUCAUUGCCAUGGAAGCUUGAUGUGCAAGACAGUACUGGUUCCAAAUACCACAGGAAGGAAGAUCUGGAGCAAGAACCACCAUUGCACGCAAAGAGUAUUGCAUGUGGUUCCUGCUCACUGCUCUGCAAGUCUCAUCAUCUUACUACUGAUCUAGCAAGGCCUGUUGAAGAUAACUCUGGGAGAAGGGAAAGGUCAUGCCAAGAUUCCUUGGGAGAAUAUGAAGAAAAUGCAACCCAUACUUGUUGGUGAUAAGA